rnacentral:lncRNA from 1 species
CUCAACUCUAGGGGGCCCGCAUUAUCCUAACUGCAUAUUUUUUAAUCCAAUGGCUAAAAAUCUACAAACACCAAUAACUUUGUACUUUUGAAAACAUAGGAGCUCAAUUCUAUAUAUAUAUAGGUUAGGGCUACUAUCCUAUUAAUAGGAUAGUAGCACUUGUCCUAUCAAAUUGUUCUUGAUGAUAUAGAUUCCGAAUCGAUGAUCGGAGCUAUUGAAGUUGAUCUAGAGUAUUUGAAAUAUCUAGAAACUAAAUUUUAUAAAUUUUAAAAAUUAUUUACAUGGUGAUCAAAGUGUCGUAAAAUCGAGAAUUUUUGACGGCCUAUAUGAGCCGUUUACUUGUUUAACAGUGUAGAGUAAUCCAAAUUGCUUAAAUUGUUUAUAGAAAAUUCUUUAUACUAUUUAGAUAAUGUUUGAUAACUCUGAUUAUGAUUUGAGAAAGUCUAACCUCUAUUUUAAGAAAAUUAUUCAUUUAUGACUGUUCAUUUUUCAACUCUUAAGCUGAAUUUGAUAAUAAUUUUUAAAUAUUACAAAAUUUGGUUUCUAAACAUUUCUAAUUGUGUAGAUCAAUUUCAAC